GCCGAGAUGGCGGAAUUGGUAGACGCACUAGGUUCAGGUCCUAGCGGGGGCAACCCCAUGGAGGUUCGAGUCCUCUUCUCGGCACCA
rnacentral:tRNA from 3 species